CAGUAGCCGCGGUAAUACGAAGGGGGCUAGCGUUGUUCGGAAUUACUGGGCGUAAAGCGCACGUAGGCGGACAUUUAAGUCAGGGGUGAAAUCCCGGGGCUCAACCCCGGAACUGCCUUUGAUACUGGGUGUCUAGAGUAUGGAAGAGGUGAGUGGAAUUCCGAGUGUAGAGGUGAAAUUCGUAGAUAUUCGGAGGAACACCAGUGGCGAAGGCGGCUCACUGGUCCAUUACUGACGCUGAGGUGCGAAAGCGUGGGGAGCAAACAGGAUUAGAUACCCGUGUAGUCCCUGUCUCUUAUAA
rnacentral:rRNA from 1 species